rnacentral:tRNA from 1 species
GCUUUGGUGGUGUAAAGGUUAAACUCUCAGCUGCUAACUGAAAGGUUGGUGGUUCGAACCCACCCAACAGCU